CCAAAACUGAAAAGACUGCUCUUGAGAACAACAACAACAAAAAACAUUCUUGUCGUGCCUUGCAGUCAGCAUUUGCAUUAAGCUGCCCUAUCUCAUCUAAGCUGCUUCUUUUGGAUAUGCUUUCUGUGGAACAGCUGUUACUCAGCACCUCUUGGACUGCGACUCCAAUACUGAAUGACUCUGGGUGCAGCAGAUGUCAUCAGAGGAUCUGCUGCAAGAAGCACAUUCUGCUCCGUUCCCAUGGAAGUCCUCUUUGAACAUGAAGCUAAUUUGGGUGGGUCAGAAUCAUCUGUUUCUCAGCUUCCUCAUCCUUAAAAGAGGGUUGUGAUACUAGCAGAAGAAAAUGUUCUCAUAGCAUCUAAGGCCCUUGUCAUAAAUGAGGACCUGUCCCUUGUGUCAAAUGCUGCCUGUGACUGGUGUGUCCUGCCCCAACAAGACUGCAGGCAGCGCUGCUCUUGGACACACUUGGCAUUAUGGGUCUUUGCUGUCACCCAGCUUUCCUUCAAGCAUCCACUAUAUCUUUUCAAGGAAGAAUGUGAUGGAAUAGACAGCAGAUGCCAAGUAUUUUGUUGCCAUCGAAUAUGGAUUUUCCCAUUCCACUAAAGUUUGGGUGGCCCCAGCUCUGAUGCUUUGUGAUGGAAAGAAACGUGAAUCUUGAUUUUGGGACUGAUCUGAAGAGAAGAGCCUGUGGGCCUAAAAGCUUGUUUCCCUGAAGAACAGCAGUGCCAGAGGUUUCAGGAAGAAAACUGUCCGUUUUGAGGAUUUGAGUGCCAGAAGUCACAGAGGGCCUUUCUGAUGCUGUUAAGGAGGAUUCUGUAUAUCACCCGUUUGCAGGAGCUGAAACUCUGGUGUACCCGGAAGGACAAAAGUUGUCAACUCUCCGCUGGGGCGUCACCCGAAGUGGAAAGGCCUAUGUUGACUUUCGCUGUCUAUGAAUCUGCCCAUGUCUCUGCUUUUUCAGUUAUUACACAGGCUCCAGAGACUUAGUGGUAUUUGGCAAUAAGCAGAGCUGCUCUUCUGAAACAACGUGGUGCAGCCUAGCAGGUAUACUGAAGACUCUCCAGCUUUUUGCCAGAUGUGACUGUAACCCCAACCCUUGACUCUGGCUGAAGCAAGCAGAAAUUGGACUUGAACUGUAACAUCUCGGCUGUGAUCACCUCAAGGAGGAGAUACAGGUUUGAAGUAGGAGCCUAAGGAAGAAUACAAAAUCAAGGACUCAG